UCAAUCAUUAAACAGGAUCUGUUCUAUAGGCUCGUACCACCUUAUCCUUGAGUUCUAAGGAGACAUGAAACCAAGUUUGGUGGAUGAGUUGUGGCCAUUAGAUCAUAGCGUGAUUAAUAGCAACCAUUGCUCGUUGGUUGAUGGAGCCGUAGACGAUCGCUCUCAGCCUGGUUCGUCGGGCUUGAGAUGGUCUCGUGGCUGUCUGACAGACU